rnacentral:rRNA from 1 species
AAAACACCUCGCCAAUGCCACACCCCCACGGAACCCAGCAGUGAUUAACAUUAGGCCAUAAGCCAAAGCUUGACCUAGUCUCAGUCAAACUAAACAAGGGCCGGUAAACUCCGUGCCAGCCACCGCGGUUACACGCAGGGCCCAAGAUAAUAAACACUCGGCGUAAAAUGUGACUAGAGAAUAAUUUAACCAUAAAGAAAUCAUAACUACAAUAUAGUCGUAAAAUACCCAUAUAUGUAAGAUCAACCAUCAAAUUUCUUUUGUAGAAUAACCUUGACCUCACGAAAACUAAGACACAAACUGGGAUUAGAUACCCUACUAUGCUUAAUCGUUAACCCAGGUAGUACCAUAACCAACUACCCGCCAGAGAAUUACAAGUGAAAAGCUUAAAACUCAAAGGACUUGACGGUGUUCCACACCAACCUAGAGGAGCCUGUCCUAUAACCGAUACCCCACGAUACACCUCACCCUAACUUGCAACCAGCCUAUAUACCGCCGUCGCCAGCUUACCUAACAAUAGAAAACUAUAGUAAGCAAAAUGGGCCCCUCCCCCAAAAACGUCAGGUCAAGGUGUAGCUAAUGAUAGGGCAGAGAUGGGCUACAUUUUCUUUAAAUAGAACACACCGUAAGCAAUAUGAAACACAAGCCAAAAGGUGGAUUUAGCA